rnacentral:rRNA from 1 species
UGCGUAGGCGGAUUGAUAAGUCAGUGGUGAAAACCUUCAGCUUAACUGGAGACUUGCCAUUGAUACUGUUAGUCUUGAGUACGGUCAAGGUAGGCGGAAUGUGUAAUGUAGCGGUGAAAUGCUUAGAUAUUACACAGAACACCGAUUGCGAAGGCAGCUUACUGGGCCAUUACUGACGCUGAGGCACGAAAGCGUGGGGAGCGAGCAGGAUUAGAUACCCUGGUAGUCC